rnacentral:rRNA from 1 species
CUGGAGAGUUUGAUGGUGGCUCAGGGCGAACGCUGGCGGCGUGGAUAAGGCAUGCAAGUCGAGCGCAGGCUUGCCUGCGGGUUCUGCUCGCAGGUAGGCGCUGAGCGGCGAACGGGCGAGUAACGCGUGCAUAACCUACCCUGGGGACUGGGAUAACCCUGGGAAACUGGGGCUAAUAUCAGAUAUGCUCCCUCGUCGCAUGGCGGGGGAGGAAAGGUGCCUGUUCCGAAAGGACAGGUGCCGCCCUAGGAUGGGGGCGCGUCCCAUCAGGUAGUUGGUGGGGUAACGGCCCACCAAGCCUAUGACGGGUAGCCGGCCUGAGAGGGUGGCCGGCCGCAUCGGGACUGAGACACGGCCCGAACCCCUACGGG